UACAGAGGGGGCAAGCGUUGUUCGGAAUUACUGGGCGUAAAGGGCGCGUAGGCGGCCUUCUAAGUCGAACGUGAAAUCCCCGGGCUCAACCCGGGAACUGCGUCCGAUACUGGGAGGCUUGAAUCCGGGAGAGGGAUGCGGAAUUCCAGGUGUAGCGGUGAAAUGCGUAGAUAUCUGGAGGAACACCGGUGGCGAAGGCGGCAUCCUGGACCGGCAUUGACGCUGAGGCGCGAAAGCUAGGGGAGCGAACGGG
rnacentral:rRNA from 1 species